rnacentral:tRNA from 2 species
GCCCGAGUGGCGGAAUGGUAGACGCAGGGGAUUCAAAAUCCUCCGCCGCAAGGUUUGCGAGUUCGAGUCUCGCCUCGGGCACCA